rnacentral:lncRNA from 1 species
GGCUGUUCCCUAGUCAUGCAUGUAUUUGAGAGUUCCAUCUUCUACUGUGGAAAUUGAAUUGUCAUUUAUUUGCAUUCAUUUUCUAUUGCUCUGUAACAAAUCACCACAAACUCAGGGCUUAAAACAACACCAUUUAUUAGCUCACAGUUCUGUAGGUCAUAAGUCCAGGAUCACACGGCUGACUUUUCCCUUCAGGGUCUCACAAGGCCAAAAUCAAGGCUCUGGCAGGACAACAUUCUUAUCUGCAUACACUGGGGAAGAAUUCAUAUCAAAGGUCAUUCAGGGCUGGGCACAGUGGCUCACGCCUGUUAAAAAAAAAUCAAAAAAAUUAGCCAGGCGUGGUGGUCCGAUUCCAUUCUUUAAAGGAGUCGGGGAGGUGAUGAGUGACUGGAUUGGAAAGAAUAUGCAAAGUACUGGAGGUUACAGGCCCAAGAGUGAUUUUGAACCUGACAGCUUGCAUCUUUCCUUCAUUCAACAGAUAUUUCCUGAAUCCUACUGUGGGCCAGGCACACACUAGGUGCAGAAUUACAAAUCACAGCAUUUCCACUAAGGUGGAAGCUCCUUGAGGUCAGGGACUCUGUUUUAUCUCUAGAAUGGGGCCUAACACUCAGAAAAGGAUGAUUGAGUACAUUUCAGCGGCCCUCAUGAAGGGCGAGGCCAGGUGUCCCAUG